UUCUAUUGGGGCAUUCUGGUAAUUGGUAGAUUAGGGUUUUGCAAAGGUUUGCUCUAUAUAAGCCCAUUAGAAGGCGUCUCUUUAGUUCACAGUUAGGAUUAGUCGCCUCCGUCAAAAGAUCAACUCCAGCCUCCAGGUUUCACCUGCGCUUACUCUCAGUAGCACCUGUCUCAUAUGCAACUGAAAUUUAGAACCUUUCAAGAUUUCUAAUUUACUGCUCACUUUUUGUAUUCAUAAUCUGGGAUUCCUUCGCAUUUCCCUGUUCUUUUCUUUUUUAAAUCCCGAAAUUUCAGACAGUUGAGGCAAUGAUGACCAAAAAAUCAUAUACCAUCAAACUAUGAAAGCUUAAUCAAAAGCUUGUUGAUUCGUCGAUAUCAUUACUAUCUGAGCCUCUUUAUUUAUUUUAACAACUCGCGCAUUUUUGUUGAUCUGUUCUCUCAUAAUUGUUGAGAUUAAUGAUUUUGGUAAUGAAUCUAGAAAAAGGCAAUAAAUUAGAGUCUCUGAUGCGCUUUGUCUAGCGUAUACAGCGCUGUACGUUGCCAAGAAUGAAUUGGGGUGAAGAUUCUGGCACGGGGAUUUUUAUAUGUAGUCCUUGUGCAUUCAGAUGCCUCANNNNNNNNNNNNNNNNNNNNNNNNNAUAUAUAUAUAUAUAUAUAUAUAUAUAUAUAUAUAUUAAAGUUGUCCCUGGUUACAUGAUUUAUAAGUAGUUCAAACUGAUCUAAAAGAUUUGCAUUUGAAAAUCAAACUGAGCUUAGAAGUAGUUCAAUGUUUGCUCCUUAAUUUUAAGACUAGACAGUAAGCAUAGAGAACGAGAUUGGUUUCUUCUGAACUAAUUUUGACAUGAAAUGUGAAUCACAUAAUUUUCUUACUAAAAGCAUGCAUAUGAAUUAAAUUGAAAAGUGAUUUAAGAUUUGAUUUCAUAUAUCCUUGAUUUGACAAGGAUGACUGGUUGGCGAUAAGCCUAUGUUUGAGAAUGAAGAUAUGAGUUACUACAUAUCACUGGUUUUGAUUAAUCAGUCUACAAAAGGCAAUAAAUUAGAGUCUCUGAUGCACUUUGUCAAUAGUGUAUACAGCGCUGUACGUUGCCAAUAAUGACUUGGGGAGAAGAUUCUGGCACACGGACUUUUAUAUAGUCCUUGUGCAUUCAGAUGCCUCUACAUUGUUGAAUACUUUAUUAUUUCUGUUGAACUAGAAGGGAAAUAAGGAAAAGAGGUGCAGACUAAUGUAUAAAGCCAUUUGACUACUUUUAAUUAAGACCCAAUAAUUCUUUAAAAUUUGUUCAUCUGUUUCUUUCAUGACGUGUGCAUACUACUUUAUAUUACUAAUUUGAAUAUUGAGUCUAUAAAAAGGCAAUUAAUUAGAGUCUCUGAUGCGCUUUGUUAAUAGCGUAUUUAGCGCUGUACGUUGCCGAUAAUGAAUUGUGGCGGAGAUUGUGGCUCUAGGAUUCUUGCAUAUAGUCCUUGUGCAUUCAGAUGCCUCUACAUUUUUGUCUACUUCAUUAGACUGAGUAAUUUUUAUUAUGUAUUUAAGUUAAUGUACAUUUCACAUUUAAUUUAACUGGUUAAAAUAGAUCAUUUAGCAUGUAUAAAGGUUAUUAUGCAACUGUCCGUUUUACUGCUCUACAUUAAAGUUUACACAUGAAUAUUUGUGUUGGGAUAUUUCGUAAAUUUUUGUAUUGUAAUUUAGGAGUUCGAUCAUGAAAAUUCCAGUCAUGACUAAUGAGUUUGAUUCUCAGUAGUAAGUACUCAAAUCACUUAUUUCAUGAUGAAGCAGUUCAUAGUUCCGUACCAAAGAUACACGCACUCUACCGUUGGAGGGUUUUGACAUACACAACACUACAUAGCUUGGUAAUCCUACAAUUGUUUUCUAUCUAUGUGAAAUCUCCAACUCUCCAUGUGCAACGAAAAGAAUUGUACAGGAAGUGAAUCUGUGAAAUAUAUCAAGAAUGCUGUUCCUCUGUAUUCUUGGUUAGAAGAGACAUUUGCUUGUAUCAUUUGCCACGUCAAAUACUCUGCACUCUUCAGUCCAUAUUGGACGACAUCCCGCAGGGUUUUACUGCAAUAGCUUCUAGAAUUUAAACUCAAAUUUCAAAACCCAAACUCAUAAGCAGAAACAACAAUGUCGGACGAUGCCUGUCAUGCUUAAACUGUUGCAAAAUUCGCCAUUAUAAUCCAACAAAUCAAAAGCACAAACAGGAAAUGCCUCGUGUAUAGAUAUUAUAUGAGCAAGAAAGGCUCUAACUACAAUCUCUAAAUUGAGGAAACAACCAAUUCAGUAGAAAAAAAUGAGUUGUAAAAAAGGGUUUACAAAACUAAGCGGUUGUUGCAAAUAUAAUCUGGUUUACAAGUUUGGAGUCGAUUCACUAGGAAUUAACCUACUAAUCACAACUGCUAGUUUCGGAAGAAUUCAAGUAAUCAACUUUCAGAAUCAAGUAAUCAACUUUCAAAAAUAUUGAAUAAUGAAUAAUGAGUUGAGCCUGUAACUUUAUUACUAACAAAGCAAAUGUUGUAGACAAGAAUAGAAAACAUCUAGGGUUAUGAUUUCCUUUCGUCGAAAUCCUCCCCACCAUGUCUCUUAUAACUUCGCUUAUUCUCUAUUGAUUGUGAGCACUUUAGGUGUUGAAACUCUCGUCCGAGCAACUACAAUAAUAUACUAGACAUAUUCUUUUGAACUAUGCUAGCUAGCUUUAGUUUACACCCUCACUACUAAGUUCACACAAAAGUUUCGUUAUUUUCAUAUAUAUUUAGUAGUGCACUUUAGGUGUUGUAACUCUCUUCCGAGCAACUACAAUAAUAUACUAGAUGUAUUCUUUUGAACUAUGCUAGCUAGCUUUAGUUUACACCCUCACUACUAAGUUCACACCAAUGUUUCGUUAUUUCUAAUUCAUUUUUAAAUCCUCUGUAUUGAUCUCUCAUAUAUAUUUAGUAGUGAUGUUGUUCAACAACUAUCUAAAAUAUAUAUCCUUUUUCAACUAUCUAAAUAGCAUAGCCGAUUGAGAGCCCUUCAAUCAGCCACAAUAAUCAUGUAUUAAACGCAACAAAAAUUCAUCAUCCAAUAGGUUUUAUCAACCCUAGAAAUAGUUUAGCUACUCAUAAUUGUUUUUACAACUACAAUAUAAGAAUUUAUCACCAACAAUAAAGCGAUGUUGGAAUCCGCGUCUGCCUUUGUGUGUCGCGCGCCCAUGGAGCAAAUACAUCUUUUGAAUUUCUUCCAUUUCGCGAAGCGAUCUGUGCCUUUGCUUCACUUCCUUUGCUGUUUUAUGCUUUCACUUUUCUCCUUUUUUGUGUAUGUUUUCAUGCCACGCACGAGAAUAUACGAGCUCCCAAUCCUUCCAUUUUUCUCCUUUUAGCAAUAAUUUAAUAUCUUUUGCUCCAUUAUCAUUCAGGCUCAGUCCUAUAAAUAGAACUGUCAAAACGGGCUAGCCCAAUCCAACCCAAGCCUCGUGGGCUUUUAAAUUUGGUGGACAAGGACGAGCCGACCCGCCAUAUAAAUGGGCCUUAAAAUGGUCAGCCCAACCCAGCCCUAAGAGGGUUGUCGGCUAGGUUCGGUCGGCCCUUCAAUUUUUUUUUUUAGAAAAAAGAAUUUCUUUAAAUUCUUAAAUAUUUUUUCGUGACGUAAAAAAAGCUUGAUAUUUGACAAGGAAUCUUGUAAUUGAAAUGCAAAUUCUCUAUAUCUCUAGCUCUUCUUUUUUAAAAUUACAUGAAUAUUUUCUUUAUACUUUUCUUUCAUUUUUCUCAGAUUCAGGGAUUGCUUCAAUAAAUUUAUAUGCUGAGUUUUUUUAAUUUAGGAUUAACAUCAUUUGCUGAUUUCAUCAUUAUAAUCCAUAAAAAUUUUAAAAUUCCUGAAAUUUGCUUGUGGUCAUUUUUUUUAUGUAUUUAAAAUUGAUCUUUUUCUAUAUUGAAUAACUGUUUAAAUAUUAAUAAUAUAUUAAAGUAAUCCAAACUGAUCAUUGGCCACUUAAAGUAAUAUUUUCUUUUGAAAAAAGAUUAUUAUUGGUCACCUAAAACUUUUAGAGUUUGUUAAAAAUUAAGAAAAAGAAAAACUAAUUGUCAUAUUACAUGCAUAUCAAAAAUCUAAAUUUUAGUUGAUAUGAAAGGGUAAAUGAGCAAUCUAGGGUUGGGGAAUGAGGAUUAUAGUUAAUAGUUUUUGUAGUUUUAUUUUUUUAAAUAUUAAAUAUUUAAUUAUUUUUUGGCCCACGGGCCGGCCUAGGCUCAUCCUCGGUCAAGCCUCAAGGGCUAGCGGGCUGACUUGGGCCGGGCUUAUAAGCAUCAAUUUUAAAAGGGCUCAAAGAAAUUCUAGCCCAACCCUACUCAAGUAGCGAGCUGGGUUUGGCUGGCCUCAUGGGCCAAGCCCAUUUUGACGGCUCUACCUACAAAUAAGAAAUACGUAAUGAGUAUAGUUCACUUCAAAUAUCAUAUAAUCUACCGCAACUCACACGACAAAUGAGAUGAAAAUACACUCAAAAUCAUGCACUUUUGGCCAUUUAUCACAUACAUAAAGAGGUAUUAGAAGCAACUUAACAUAUGACAAAUAGUGAGAGAAGCAAGUUUGUUAUUAUUAACUAAACCAACCUUUUACCUGCACCCGAUCCCCUUUACUCUUCAACCAAGUUACCCUUCUUUCUUUUUCGUCAUUGACAUUCUAUCUACCCCUCUAUCUCAAGGCCUUUCUCUGUACUUUUUAUUACAGUAAGUAGUUCUCUUUGAUUUUUUCCAUAGCUAAUUCUUAUUGGUUUAUUGUUUUGGCAUCUUGCACUUGUUGGAUGAAGCACAUGAUAGUGCUUUUAUUUACUGGGUAAAAAUGAAAAGACAAUUCUUUAUGCUUAUCAAAAAAUAAAAAAUAGACAAUUCUUUAUCUGGACACACUUAGGUAAACAAAUGUAAUAUGUUCUCUUCUUGAAUGCACUCGAUCAAGACCGGUAAAACAACAACAAUUUUUUCAUUCUGAGGUUUCUCUCUUUCCGAUAGCCUAUCACUUUUGAUCUCCCUGAGAUGUCUGUUAUUCCCUAUUUUAACCUUUUUCAUUCUUUUUCUAUAUUUGUUGGUGGAGAUUUCACAAUUUCUGCAUUCGUUGGUCUUUUGUUUUAAUAUAAAUUACAGUAAGUGUAAUUGAAGUCCUUGGCAUAUUUUGAAAAAAUUUCAGUUUGUUGUUUGCACUAAAAAUGCUCUUCUACAAAAACCUUUGAAAUCCAUCUAGUGUUAUACAUCUAGUAAAUAAUUCAGACACGCAACAUAAAACCCCUAUGGAUAGAACCAGUUAGAGGAGAUAAUAUAAUCUUUCAUCCCUGUUAGUAUGCCCAUCAAUUUGAAGCACUUGCAAGUUCAAGUCGCAUCAGUGCAUAGAAUCUCAACUCUAUUUUAAUAAUUCAGGAGCUUAGUGUAAGCACAAUGAACCUUAUUUUCCAAAGCAAUUUUCGACAAUUGCAUUGGCUUAAAGUUACAAAGAAUUCAAACAAGCAACCAAAAGAAUACACCUUUUAACACCACUUAGUUCAGCCCAAUCUCUGUUGUGCAAACUCCCAACACCCACAAAUUCAUAAAACCCCGUAAACAUCGGCACCGCUAUUGAGCACUCGCAGAGUACACAUAAAACAAGGGAAAAAACUGAGCUCCAAGAAAAGUGUUACACAUAGAUAAAGCAAGAUCUAGAACAUUUUAGAGCAAGGUCGAAAGGGAAAGUGAAAACUUUUGUGUUGGUGGUUAAAGGCCUUACUACAGGAAUUCAAAAAAUAAAUAGAAGACAGACAGAUUGAACUCGCCGGGAGCUAGAAACAAAGAGCCCUAAUCCCCAUCAUCUAUUGCUGACAUAGCCCAUUUAACGGACAAAUCAGAAGUAAUGAGCAAGGAGCUUCUGAGGAAGAGCAGACAACGACGAUGAUCGAGAGAAGAAGAGAGAGAGAGACAACGAAGGGAAUAGAGAGAGAUCCGGAAGGAACAAUGGAGAAAAUGAGAGAAGACCUCAAACGUGGCAAAUCAGUUCCCGAUUAAAAGACACGCCAAAUCACAAUAGGCAAUUAGCGAAAAAGACUAAAAUGCCUACAGUUUUGAAUUUUUUUGCCAUGAAGCACACAUGUCGAAACCUUCUCAUAGAGAAUGCAUAGAAUCCUACAGAAAACGUGACUUCACUUAAGAUAACUGCAGAAACCAUUGGACCAAAAAUGAACCCAAUUUAGAAGAGAUUAAGAUAGUAGCUUAAAACUCUCUAAUAUCACUUUAUAGUUUGUUGUUUCAAACAAAUUAUAGCAUUUCACCAAAGAGCUAUUUUAGUUUUCUGGCAGAUUAGUUAGAAAAAAUACAAAUUCAAAUGGUUAUAUCAGACUUCAUAAAUGCAUGCAAGUGCAAAAGAUAAAAACUCAUGGGAAGUGUUCAACCACUAUUUACCUCAGUGGUUGGAAGUAAACAAUCAACUAUCAACAAACAAACCACGACACUCCAUUAUCAAGCUAAUCUGUUAACUCCUCUAGUCAGAAACGGACUAAAAAAGUUAGGAAUAGAAAUGAGUCUUACCUCACAAAGAGGAAUGCUAGCAGAUUUAUGAUAUAGCAUCCCAUUCCUACAGAUGUCCCUCUAAUUUUUUUUCCCUUUUAGUAGCAUAAAGCCCAACCAAGUCAUAGACAUCCUAAUUUUAAAGCACGUUAUGCACCAUUAAACAACAACCUGUUAGCUAGGAAAAAUAUGAAGUGGGAUAAGAAAGAUUACAACACUGCAUAAAUACAUGAAAUGGAUAUAAAGACACAGCAUACUUGAUAUUGAUUUCUGGAAAUAGGAAACUCUUUUGGCAUAUUUUUCCUUCCAUAGUAGUUUCUACUAUAUCCACGUGAAUGUGGCAAUAAGCCAAUAACUCUUCAGCUAAAAUCUGCUUCUCUCUAUGGAAGCAACCUUGUCAAUAAUACACCAUAUAAUGGUUCUAAGAGUAUGGACUCUCUCAAAUAGAACAUAUUACAUGAACGACUAUACCAUAAUAUAAAAUCACAUACUAAUACAUAAAUCAUAAGUUUAAGUGGUCCAAAUGGACAUAUGGCCUUAUGCAUUCAUACAAAUAAACACAAAAUAUUCUGCAACAUAUCUUAUAAAUUCGUUGUGUUCUUUCAUGAUUUUUCCAAAAUGAACCAAAUGUUUCUUUGUUCGUCUGGUUCAAGUAAGGCCAUUCACUACAUUAUGACAUAAAUGUAGGAAAUUUGAUAACUUAAACAUUUUAGAAACAGGACGCUUUCAGUUUUUUUUCUCCUCCAAACAGUAGUUCUUUUUACUCUUCCAACUUCCCCAUAAAGCAACAGGGGAUAAAAAGCAAUUCCACACUGAAACUUUUUACUAUUACUAUACGAAAUUGAAGAAUUCUAACCAUCAUGACGUUAUGGCUGAAAUGAGUGUAUAAAGAGGCAUAAACCAGUAGACAUAAGGAAAAAUCAUAAAACCCCAAGUCGAAAAAAGAAAUUCAAAAGCAACUUUACCAACAAUCGUUACUUCUAUACCAAUAGUUCAUUAACAAUCUAAACAACGAUUUUUCAGUAAAUAUCGACAAAAUAGAAAAGAAACGUGUAGAAAGGCUUAACAGAAGUAGGUAUAAUAAACAAAGUAGUAAUGAAGAGAGGUUAUUGUAUGACAUAUAAGUGUAACAAAAGGAUAAUUCAUACAUAAAAUAUCAAAACUUACUCAUAAUAAUGAAAAACCGAUUUUCUAUAUAUACCCAUUAGGAGACGGGAAAAGCAACACUGAACUGCAAGUAUAUAGACACACAAGCAACGAAUCAACGACAUGGAUUUAUAGACACUCAUUUGCCACACAUCUAAGUUUUUCUUCAUUAAUACCGUUCGCUCAAGUCGAGAGCAGAUAUUUUGUAGAAACAGACAAACUACCAAAGGUUGUGUUGAAAGUGUGUAUACUUUAAUUCUUGUUACUUACGCUAUGAAACCAACAUAUGUGAGAGGAAACAAAUAAAAACUACCGCAACCAAAUCUAUACUGAGAAAAUCAUUUGUAUUAAGAAAUUGCAACCAAAUCUAAGUAUAGAAUCUAUCGUCUAAUUUCUGAAGUUUAUAGAGCUACAUCGAAUUUUAAAAUUGGAAUUUGGAUAUUUGGAAUUUUCUAAUGAAAUUGGAGUAACACAGUCAACCAAGAGAUUCCGACCAAGUUAAAUCUGCCGAAUCAACAGAGAUACAUGCAUUCCACGAUCAGAAUUAAACAAAGGGGAGGGCAACACUUGAGAUGGAAAAAAAGGAAGAAGAGACGCAGAACAUGAAGGAAACAAAGAGAGAGAGAAAAUUUACCUUUGUUUCUGGUGAAGGGCUCCAUGUUGUCUCUCCUUUCUGCCCUAUACACUUCUCCUUCAUGCCAAAAAUCAUCAUAGCUAACAGUGAACUGGGAAAAGUACCUUUGAGAAGACCGGAGAGAACUCAUGGGAAAAGGAUCGAAAGAAGAGGAAGAGCUACACAAUUAAGCAGUGGCUGUAGGAACAGAAGCCACGUAUCUCCUGAUAGCUCAAAUGACUAACUUACCCGUGAUUUUAAAUUUAUUGCCACUAAGC
rnacentral:lncRNA from 1 species